rnacentral:rRNA from 1 species
UAGCUAGUUGGUGAGGUAAAGGCUUACCAAGGCGACGAUCUGUAGCGGGUCUGAGAGGAUGAUCCGCCACACUGGAACUGAGACACGGUCCAGACUCCUACGGGAGGCAGCAGUGGGGAAUUUUGGACAAUGGGGGCAACCCUGAUCCAGCCAUGCCGCGUGAGUGAAGAAGGCCUUCGGGUUGUAAAGCUCUUUCGGCCGGGAAGAAAUCGCAUGGGUCAAUACCCUGUGUGGAUGACGGUACCGGAAUAAGAAGCACCGGCUAACUACGUGCCAGCAGCCGCGGUAAUACGUAGGGUGCGAGCGUUAAUCGGAAUUACUGGGCGUAAAGCGUGCGCAGGCGGUUUUGUAAGACAGGCGUGAAAUCCCCGGGCUUAACCUGGGAACUGCGUUUGUGACUGCAAGGCUAGAGUACGGCAGAGGGGGGUGGAAUUCCACGUGUAGCAGUGAAAUGCGUAGAGAUGUGGAGGAACACCAAUGGCGAAGGCAGCCCCCUGGGUCGAUACUGACGCUCAUGCACGAAAGCGUGGGUAGCAAACAGGAUUAGAUACCCUGGUAGUCCACGCCCUAAACUAUGUCAACUAGGUGUUGGGUGGGUAAAACCAUUUAGUACCGUAGCUAACGCGUAAGUUGACCGCCUGGGGAGUACGGCCGCAAGGUUAAAACUCAAAGGAAUUGACGGGGACCCGCACAAGCGGUGGAUGAUGUGGAUUAAUUCGAUGCAACGCGAAAAACCUUACCUACCCUUGACAUGCCAGGAACUUGCCAGAGAUGGCUUGGUGCCCGAAAGGGAGCCUGGACACAGGUGCUGCAUGGCUGUCGUCAGCUCGUGUCGUGAGAUGUUGGGUUAAGUCCCGCAACGAGCGCAACCCUUGUCGUUAAUUGCCAUCAUUUGGUUGGGCACUUUAACGAGACUGCCGGUGACAAACCGGAGGAAGGUGGGGAUGACGUCAAGUCCUCAUGGCCCUUAUGGGUAGGGCUUCACACGUCAUACAAUGGUCGGUACAAAGGGUUGCCAAGCCGCGAGGCGGAGCCAAUCCCAGAAAGCCGAUCGUAGUCCGGAUUGCAGGCUGCAACUCGCCUGCAUGAAGUCGGAAUCGCUAGUAAUCGUGGAUCAGCAUGUCACGGUGAAUACGUUCCCGGGUCUUGUACACACCGCCCGUCACACCAUGGGAGCGGGUUCCGCCAGAAGUAGGUAGCCUAACCGCAAGGGGGGCGCUUACCACGGCGGGGUUCGUGACUGGGGUGAAGUCGUAACAAGGUAGCCGUAGGGGAACCUGCGGCUG